AACUUCGUCGUCAUGACAAUGACAUUCCCCCCUUCCUUGUUGAUCUUGAAUAAUUUACUUUGCUGACUAAUUCUUAUAAGUUAUAUAACAUUUAGCAAACAAUGCAAUAAACCUGUCUUCCAUCUUUUCUUUCAUUUUUAUUUCAUUCUAUUUUAUUUCGCUUUUAGAUUUUCUGUAAAAAGUUCAUUGGGGAAGUUAAUUUUGGAAAGAUUUCACUAUUCUUGUCUUUAGUAGGUUUGACGAAUCUUCUAGUACUCUGGCCAUUCGUUCUCUUGUUUUACUUCACUAAAACCGAGUUCGUUGACUGGCUUGAUCUACCUUGGACACCACUCUGUGCUUCGGCUGUCUUCACCACAGCACACCAAUUGGUAUUUAAUUAUUCAGGAGUCUUCACAAUCACCUUCUUCAUAGAAACAGCUCUUCUAUUUGGCAUUCCUCUGGGUGCAAUUGCUGACAUUGUAUGGAGAAACAGCCAGUUUUCAGGAAUGAAAAUAUCUGCAUUGGUUUUAAUCGAAGUUGGACUUUUGCUUACCAUUUUACCAGAAGGUUGGCAUCAUUACGUAAUUCGUGGUUUUAGAUUCGUCAAAGAAUUAGUAACAAAGCCACCACCUGAAGAAGAUAUCCCACCUCAGACUUCAAGAUUCGAAUGGAGAAAUUCGAUCAAUUGAUUCUUCUCGAAGAACAUUGUAGUAUUUUAUACAAAAACAACGGUGACACUGGGCACAAGAUUUAUUGUGCGUUCAUUUAUACAAGAUAUCGUUUGUUUCUUAUUCUUCUCUGUAUCGCAUGUUUGUCUCAGUAUUGCCUGACGAUGAAAGCAUGUUUACUACAUCCUCUUCACAAAGCUCGUAGAAAAUCUACGAGUAAGUUCUGUUUGUAUCACCUCAUAAUGGAUACUGUGGAUGAAAACGUCUGACAAUCACAACACUACUAAAGAAUUUAGAAGUCAAUUCACAAACGCAAUGUGCAUUUAAAUCUCAUUAAAUCGUAUAAGGUGAAUUUUUUCACUCAAAUUCAAACUCAAAUGUGUAUAUAGAACAAGCCGUCACUAUGCUGUGUGUGUAUGUGUGUGUGCUUUAAUAACUUUAGGACGUAAUCUAUUACACCGCUAAACUUAGUGGCUAUUUAAGUAAUGUGUUCGUGGAUAGUUAAUGAGUCUGGUGUGAUACUGAAGAAGGAGCAAGUACUCCCGAAAUAUGCAUAUACACCUAUUACCUAUUUUUCUAUCUUCGAUCGUAUUGUUUACAUAGACGUAUUCGUAUACGAAACGUCGUAACUUGCAGUGUUGGCUCUAAAUUCUAUAGAAUAUCUGUGGAGAUAAUUUAAAAGUGAUUCAAUCGCACUGCUAACACAAAAACGUAGGACACAUUAUUGACUUAUAAAUCUUUAAUACACUUGGUAGUAUAUUAUGGUUGUUAAACGAAAUACGGUACGACUACCAGCAAUUGAUAUAUAUAUAUAUAUAUAUAUA
rnacentral:lncRNA from 1 species